rnacentral:tRNA from 1 species
GGCGGGGUAGCUCAGUUGGUAGAGCAGAGGACUGAAAAUCCUUGUGUCGCCGGUUCGACCCCGGCCCUUGCCACCA